rnacentral:rRNA from 1 species
GACGAACGCUGGCGGCGUGCCUAAUACAUGCAAGUUGAGCGCUGAAGGUUGGUACUUGUACCAACUGGAUGAGCAGCGAACGGGUGAGUAACGCGUGGGGAAUCUGCCUUUGAGCGGGGGACAACAUUUGGAAACGAAUGCUAAUACCGCAUAAAAACUUUAAACACAAGUUUUAAGUUUGAAAGAUGCAAUUGCAUCACUCAAAGAUGAUCCCGCGUUGUAUUAGCUAGUUGGUGAGGUAAAGGCUCACCAAGGCGAUGAUACAUAGCCGACCUGAGAGGGUGAUCGGCCACAUUGGGACUGAGACACGGCCCAAACUCCUACGGGAGGCAGCAGUAGGGAAUCUUCGGCAAUGGACGAAAGUCUGACCGAGCAACGCCGCGUGAGUGAAGAAGGUUUUCGGAUCGUAAAACUCUGUUGGUAGAGAAGAAACGUUGGUGAGAAGUGGAAAAGCUC